rnacentral:rRNA from 1 species
CAACAGGGAUUGCCUUAGUAACGGCGAGUGAAGCGGCAACAGCUCAAAUUUGAAAUCUGGCCCCUUCGGGGUCCGAGUUGUAAUUUGCAGAGAGUGUUUCGGGUGAGACCACGGUCUAAGUUCAUUGGAACAUGGCGUCAUAGAGGGUGAGAAUCCCGUAUGUGACUGUGGCUUGAGCCCAUGUGAAGCCUCUUCGACGAGUCGAGUUGUUUGGGAAUGCAGCUCAAAAUGGGUGGUAAAUUUCAUCUAAAGCUAAAUACUGGCUGGAGACCGAUAGCGCACAAGUAGAGUGAUCGAAAGAUGAAAAGCACUUUGGAAAGAGAGUCAAACAGUACGUGAAAUUGUUGAAAGGGAAGCGCUUGCAACCAGACCUGUCCGUAGGUGAUCAGCCGCUGUUCUCAGCGGUGCACUCGCUCUGCGAUCAGGCCAGCAUCGGUUUCGGCGGUUGGAUAAAGGCCUUGGGAAUGUAGCUCCCUUCGGGGAGUCUUAUAGCCCUCGGUGCAAUGCGGCCAGCCGGGACCGAGGACCGCGCUUCGGCUAGGAUGCUGGCGUAAUGGUUGUAAGCGACCCGUCUUGAAACACGGACCAAGGAGUCUAACAUCUAUGCGAGUGUUUGGGUGUUAAACCCAUGCGCGGAAUGAAAGUGAACGGAGGUGAGAACCCUUUAGGGCGCAUCAUCGACCGAUCCAGAUGUCUUCGGAUGGAUUUGAGUAUGAGCAUAGCUGUUGGGACCCGAAAGAUGGUGAACUAUGCCUGAAUAGGGUGAAGCCAGAGGAAACUCUGGUGGAGGCUCGCAGCGGUUCUGACGUGCAAAUCGAUCGUCAAAUUUGGGUAUAGGGGCGAAAGACUAAUC